rnacentral:rRNA from 1 species
GACGAACGCUGGCGGCGUGCUUAACACAUGCAAGUCGAACGCUGAAACCAGAUGCUUGCAUUUGGUGGAUGAGUGGCGAACGGGUGAGUAACACGUGGGUGAUCUGCCCUACACUUUGGGAUAAGCCUGGGAAACUGGGUCUAAUACCGAAUAUUCACAUCAUCGUAGGGGUGGUGUGGAAAGCCUUGUGCGGUGUGGGAUGAGCCUGCGGCCUAUCAGCUUGUUGGUGGGGUAAUGGCCUACCAAGGCGUCGACGGGUAGCCGGCCUGAGAGGGUGUACGGCCACAUUGGGACUGAGACACGGCCCAGACUCCUACGGGAGGCAGCAGUGGGGAAUAUUGCACAAUGGGCGCAAGCCUGAUGCAGCGACGCCGCGUGGGGGAUGACGGCCUUCGGGUUGUAAACUCCUUUCGCUAGGGACGAAGCCUAUGGUGACGGUACCUGGAGAAGAAGCACCGGCUAACUACGUGCCAGCAGCCGCGGUAACAC